GAUUUUAAAAUUAAAAAGUGAAUUGUUACUCUAUGAUUUUCUUCAUUCUUACCCACGUGAGAUGGAAGAAGCUUCGUUUAGUUUGUAGAAUUAUAUAACAUGGAAAUUAAAUAUACUAUAGACUAGCUAUUAUUCAAUAAAUUCGUAAUUGACAAGAAUGUAUAUUCUAUACAGUAACAAUGUUUUUUUUAACAGCAGAAAGAU
rnacentral:misc_RNA from 1 species